rnacentral:tRNA from 1 species
CAAAUUUUAGUUUAAGGUAAAAUUAUUCAUUUACAUUGAAUUGAUAUAAUUUUUUUAUAAAUUUGA